CGUGUAGGCGGCCUGCCAAGUCAGAUGUGAAAGCCCUGGGCUUAACCGAGGAAGCGCAUCUGAAACUGGUAGGCUUGAGUGUUGGAGGGGGUAGCGGAAUUCCCGGUGUAGAGGUGAAAUUCGUAGAUAUCGGGAGGAACACCAGUGGCGAAGGCGGCUACCUGGCCAAACACUGACGCUAAAGCGCGAAAGCGUGGGGAGCAAACAGGAUUAGAUACCCUGGUAGUCC
rnacentral:rRNA from 1 species